rnacentral:lncRNA from 1 species
CCACCAAAUCAAAUCAAAUGUAUUUAUAUAGCCCUUCUUACAUCAGCUGAUAUCACAAAGUGCUGUACAGAAACCCAGCCUAAAACCCCAAACAGCAAGCAAUGCAGGUGUAGAAGCACGGUGGCUAGGAAAAACUCCCUAGAAAGGCCAAAACCUAGGAAGAAACCUAGAGAGGAACCAGGCUAUGAGGGGUGGCCAGUCCUCUUCUGGCUGUGCCGGGUGGAGAUUAUAACAGCACAUGGCCUUGAUGUUCAAAUGUUCAUAAAUGACCAGCAUUGUCAAAUAAUAAUAAUCAUAGUAGUUGUCGUGGGUGCAACAAGUCAGUAACACAAGAGUAAGUGUCAGUUGGCUUUUUCAUAGCCGAUCUUUGAGAGUAUCUCUACCGCUCCUGCUGUCUCUAGAGAGUUGAAAACAGCAGGUCUGGGACAGGUAGCACGUCCGGUGAAUAGGUCAGGGUUCCAGCAGGUCUGGGACAGGUAGCACGUCCGGUGAACAGGUCAGGGUUCCAUAGCUGCAGGCAGAACAGUUGGAACUGGAGCAGCAACACGGCCAGGUGAACUGGGGACAGCAAGGAGUCAUCAAGCCAGGUAGUCCUGAGGCAUGGUCCUAGGGCUCAGGUCCUCCGAGAGAGAGAAAGAAAGAGAGAAUUAGAGAGAGCAUAUUUAAAUUCACACAGGACACCGGAUAAGACAAGAGAAAUACUCCAGAUGUAACAGACUGACCCUAGC